rnacentral:rRNA from 1 species
ACACCGACUACGAGUUUGAUCAUGGCUCAGAGCGAACGCUAGCGGCGGGCCUAACACAUGCAAGUCGAGCGGAGAACUUCGGUUCUUAGCGGCGGACGGGUGAGUAACGCGUAGGUAAUGUGCCUUCUGGUGGGGAACGAACCGUGCGAAAGCAUGGCUAAUACCGCAUAUGUCGAGAGAUGAAAGCCUUCGGGCGCCAGUAGAGCAGCCUGCGUCCCAUUAUUUAGUCCUAGUUGGUGAGGUAACGGCUCACCAAGGGUACGAUGGGUAGCUGGUCUGAGAGGAUGAUCAGCCACACUGGAACUGAGACACGGUCCAGACUCCUACGGGAGGCAGCAGUGGGGAAUAUUGCGCAAUGGGCGAAAGCCUGACGCAGCCACGCCGCGUGAGUGAUGAAGGCCUUCGGUUGUAAAGCUCUGUCGGGAGGGAAGGAAGGCGCAAGCCUGACGGUACCUCGCAAGAAAGACACCGGCUAACUCUGUG